GGCGACGGGUGAGUAACACGUAAGAAUUUGCCUUUAGGAGGGGGACAACAACUGGAAACGGUUGCUAAUACCCCAUAUGCUUUCGAGUGAAAUGGAUUUCCGCCUAAAGAGAAGCUUGCGGCUGAUUAGCUUGUUGGUGAGGUAAUGGCUCACCAAGGCGACGAUCAGUAUCUGGUUUGAGAGGACGAUCAGACACACUGGAACUGAGACACGGUCCAGACUCCUACGGGAGGCAGCAGUGGGGAAUUUUCCGCAAUGGGCGAAAGCCUGACGGAGCAAUACCGCGUGAGGGAUGACGGCCUAUGGGUUGUAAACCUCUUUUUUCAGGGAGGAAUCAAUGACGUGUACCUGAAGAAUAAGCAUCGGCUAACUCCGUGCCAGCAGCCGCGGUAAGACGGAGGAUGCAAGUGUUAUCCGGAAUCACUGGGCGUAAAGCGUCU
rnacentral:rRNA from 1 species